GCCCAGACUCCUACGGGAGGCAGCAGUGGGGGAUAUUGCACAAUGGGGGAAACCCUGAUGCAGCGACGCCGCGUGGGUGAAGAAGCGCCUCGGCGCGUAAAGCCCUGUCAGCAGGGAAGAAAAUGACGGUACCUGAAGAAGAGGCCCCGGCUAACUACGUGCCAGCAGCCGCGGUAAUACGUAGGGGGCAAGCGUUAUCCGGAUUUACUGGGUGUAAAGGGGGCGCAGACGGCAGCGCAAGCCAGGAGUGAAAGCCCGGGGCCCAACCCCGGGACUGCUCUUGGAACUGCGCGGCUGGAGUGCAGGAGGGGCAGGCGGAAUUCCUGGUGUAGCGGUGAAAUGCGUAGAUAUCAGGAGGAACACCGGCGGCGAAGGCGGCCUGCUGGACAUUAACUGACGCUGAGGCGCGAAAGCGUGGGGAGCAAACAGGAUUAGAUACCCUAGUA
rnacentral:rRNA from 1 species